GGCACUACAUGUUCAUAUGGUUCGAAGUUUAUUUAGUUACUCAUUCUGGUAUAUGCACUCUCUUUCUUUGCAGCAUGUUGAUGCUAAUUCUUAUAUGCUAAUUCUUAGGGAUAACUCUUAGAAACAGUUUUAUAACUUAAGAUUUUCUUAACAGGGAUAAUGGUUAGGGUUGCUGACUGCCCCGUACCAAAGGAUCGGAGCUUGAAUCCCGGAGAAGGAAUGGAUGUUUGCAAGCGUAUAGUGUCUGUGCAGCGAUGGGACAUACCAAAUACAUGGCAAGCCAAAAUUCUCUCAACAGGCUGGUGGUAGAAGAAGAGGAUAAGAGACUCUUGGAGCGCAUUUUCCCUCCUUAGCAGUUAGCAUGGAGAGGCGAUACCUUCUUGUAAAUACCCGCUGUCCCCCCAAGAAUUGUCUUGACCUGCACUUAUAACGGGGGUAUAAAACGAAAAUGGUUAAAUUUUGUUUAACCUUACAGAGCCGGGAAUCCAUUCUUUCCCUUUUAUGUAAAUUUUAAGAGUACACUUGGAAGUGUUCAUUUCUUAUUUUAUACACUAGUCUUAAAUGGGUAUUAAGAAAAUUUAUAAACCUCUUUCUUCGAUUCAAAAAGUAUUUUAAGACCAUUCCUUUUCCUUAUUCGCCUUAUCUGACUAUGAAAAUGUUAAGUUUUCAUAUUCUCAUUUCAUGUCCUCUAAAAACUAGUGUAGCGUAAAAGAACUGAAUUAGUAACUCUAGCAGCGUAAAAGACCCCAGUUACUAACGUCUCUAUCAAAGCAAGAAAAAUCUAUCUCGGUUUGAAGUAAAUGCAUUUGUAAUUAAUAGUCUAAGAAGAAAUUUAGCUCUAUUUACGCUCAGGAAAAUCAACAAGCAGUAACAGUGCAUACGACUAAAACAUACCACUUUCGAGAAGGAGUUGUGAACAAAACUACCAUUAUUCAAAUGAAUUAUCCCUCGACGUUUGGAAAAGGAAAGCAAAAGCAAAUGAAAGAAAUAAGGAAAAGCUAAUUAAAAGAAAACAAAUGAUAUGAUACAAACAAACUAAUUCAUAGUUCAUUAUUUCACGAAAAUGUUGGGAAGUGAAUUUUAGAGAUCUGCGAAAGCUCAAUGAUAUGGUGUUCCGAUACAUCCAUUUCACGGAAGUUAAGUAAGAAAACUACAAACGUAAAUAUGAGUAAAUUGAAAAGAGUGAAGAGAAUUAGUUGAAAAAUAAAACUGAAUCAGUAUUUUCCUGGUUUCUUAAUAAACACGUGUGAAUGAAUUUAUAAAGUUAGAUUUUAACCUUUUAAGAAAUAUGGCCAAGAUAAAAGUUUGGCAUUAAUUAUUCUUCAUUUCUUUAAUUUCAUAAGAGUAAAGAAAGGCUCUACUAUAUACUACUAUAUUUUUUAAUUUCUGUAUGACACUGUUUUAGGUAUCGUUGCAUACUUUUUAACUGCAUUAUAUGUAGAUGAGAUGUACCAAAAUUAAGCACUUUGAAAAUGCGUAGCACAUGAUCACAAUCAUGAACUGCAGAUUCACGAAAUGCUAAAGUGCAACUCUGUUUUGUACAACGCAUCAUAUACUAAUGCUAUAUAAUAUGAUUUGGGCUUUUUGAGUACUUUCUGACAAAGGGAACGCUGUUAAAACUUUAAUCAAAUCCGAAAACUGUGAAAUUCGAAUUCUGUAUUCACCUCUUGUGUUUAAUCUAUCAGUUCGUAAAACGAAUAAAGCUAAUACAUUUCGUUCAGAGAAGAUUCAGAAUCUUGUUUAAAAUAUAUCAGUAAAGAAGUUACAAUAUUUUUAGAAAGCGAAGUAAAACGCCUUAAAUGUAUGGUAAUUUAUGUACUCUUCACGCGAAACUGUUGAAACAAUUAAAUUUAUUUGUGCAAAUUCCUAUUUAUUAAAUUUAUAUGCUCCUCUUCUCGUGAUACACUUUCACAAAUAUUACAAAAACUGCUUCAAGACUGAGACUAAUUUUAAGUUCCUAUAGUUAAGGGAAUCUCUAUAGAAUAUACUCAGCAAAGACGUAAAAAUCUCAAGCUAAACAUAGAGACUAGGAAAGCUACAAACGCGAAUACAGGGAAAUUCAAGGAAAAAUCAGGUUUGCUUCUGAAGCUCAGUCUAUUGAUGAAGAAUUUUCCUGAGUUCAGACACAAAAGGGCUUACUGCGUCAUUUAGUGAUUGAUGGACCUUGUAGGUAUGUAUCGAAAAUGAUUCCUCCAUGUAACCAAAGGAGAUUAAGAGAUAGCGUUUAAUCUAACUUAACUAUAAUAAUUUAUGCGUUGUUGAAGUGCAAUAAUUAGUCUUUGAGCUUGAGGACUGUGCUGUCAAAAUAGUUAGGCAAUGUGAUGAAUUCCUUAUUCUAUACACGCGUGAAUAAUUGUUGUGCGUGUGAAUCAUAUUGCAAUGCAGAUAUUGAUCAUGAGUAUUACGACUCUCUUUCCAAAAAAUAGCCACCUAAGCAGUAAAUAAUGCAUUUAGGAUUUUGAGGAAUUUAUCGACUAAAUAUAAUUAAGGCAGCUAUUAGUAGCAACUGAAAUCUGGGUAAAGUAAGUAAAUUUUCAUGAAUAUAAUUUCAAAAUCAAACAAAAACUCCUUUAAUAGCUGGAGCAAGAAUGACGAAAAGAAACAUAUCAUUGCGUGCUAUAUGAAAUAUAUGCUGCAUGAGCUCGAGAUAUUCUAGAAUUCUCUUUGUUUUUCUUAAAUGUUUCUUUUCCUCAUUUUCACACUAGAAGAUGGGGGAAAAUAUUUACUUUCUGAAACUAUAGUAGUGCAAAUUUGCUCAUGUUACAUCAAUUACAUAUACUCUAUAGUUUGUCGAUAGGCGAAGAGGGGUGGGAGAACCUAGGACUCUGAGAUCUGACAAGCUAGGUUAGUCACAACAACAACAACAUAUGCUUUAACAUUUUGUUCUUUAAUUCCUUCCUUUCGUUGCAUAUUAAUAAGCUAAAUUUGGAGAUUCGGAACCGGAUUACCUCCACUUCAGAAGAUAAAUGAAGCUUCGAUAUUCUUGCGAGUGAAGGAUACCUAAGAACUUUUCAAAAACUAUGCCAAGCAAGCAGGACGAAAUUGUCAAUUUGUUGUAAAAAUAACAGCUAUAAAUAUCUCAAGGAACAUGCUGAAAUAAGGCAAAUUCUCAUUUAACAUACAAGAACUAUCGCAGAUUACGGAUAACAUACACGGUGUAAACUCUAGAGCUAAGUUUUCUCAGCUUAGCUGUUUGAACUGCACGCUGAAGAAACUGGACUAACUGCUGCUGCUUAAAUAACACCCGCUUAAAUCUUCUGGAUGCUUCAGGAAAAACCGAUGCUACAACUGCAAAAUUAAGUUUUUUGAAAAUUUCCGAAAUCUCACCACGUUAGUCGAAAAUCGCCAGAUAUAGUAAACCUAACUUAGCGAUAAAAAUUACCACCAAGGCUUUUCAAAAGCAUUUUCUUUUCUAACCUAGGCUGCCGCCCAAUCGGUAUAGUGGUUAGCGUCGCUGACUGCCGUGCCAAAGGGCCUGGGUUCGAAACACGGGAAACACAUGGAUGUUUGUAAAUGUAUAGUGCCGGUGCGGCAUGGCGGCGCUCUAAAUAUGCGGUUAGCCGAAAAUCAUCUCGUGUGAUCUGGUGGCAGGGAAGAGAGGUGGGAGACUCUCGUACUCGUCCCCCGGUGUGCUCGCCAUCAAAACUGGGGGCGGAACUGAACCAAAUCGCACUGAGCAGAAGCAACAAGAACAAAUCUCGGCUUCCAGUCAAGCUGAUUCACAAUUUUAAAGUUGAAGGAUUUAGAAUCACUGCAUCUACAAUUCUUGCUAAGAAAUAAACGUUUGAAAGGACAUUAAUAUAGUCAUAAAUGCAUGCAAAACUUAUUAUACAUAUUUCACUAAAUAAGCAAACAAAUUAAUUAAAACAACACAUAGCAUUAAAGAAAUACACAAAAAUAAUAAUACAAUCAAUUUCAAAAAUCUACAGAAAUUUACAGUAUAGUAAUCUCCUUAAGAACUGCUCAUCCACACAACACUGUGUCGUUUUCUGUUUUGAUGAAAAGGAAGGGUUCCUCCCUGGAAGUCAGCGCUUUAGGUGAGAUCAUUCGACAACGCUUGGCAUCGCAACGUGUUUUUGUCCUCUCAGUCGCUGCACUGUUCCUUAAUUUGAUGUUUAGUUUGUGUGUGAUUACGGCAAAGCCUCAAGGGCUUUCUAAGGAAAACUGGCUUGUAUACCCGUUACACGCGGGGAAUACUACGGAAACAACCAUGCAGCCAGCCCGUUCGCGGGACUCGGACAGAACUACCAGUGUCGAGCGACUUUACCGCUCCGCCACUGGUGAUCCCUUACUUUUGAGGAAUCGAUGAAAGUCUUCUAAACAUGACUACUGGUCUUUCAGUUACUGAUAAGGGGAAUAAGGCUAUCCCAAUGAACCUUAUUCCCCAAUUAUUAGGGUAUCCAAAGGGCAGGUUACAUGGCAGGUGAAGAUCAUGGCCCAAAAUCAUUUGCGACGAAGAAAUCCAUUGCACUACGGGCAGCACUCUGAUACGCUACCAAGGGUGUAGGCAGUUUUCGAUUUCAGUCCUGUUGACUCCGGGUUGCGUAUGCAGAGUAUUUAUCCAAUAUUAUUCGGUUAAAUCAUUUUGAUAUCUGACAGUGAUUGUCAAGGUGUGAUUUGAGGUUUUCUCAUAACUAGAAAUUUGCAUAGUUCUGUCCAUAUGGUAGAUAUGUAGCCUUUUACUUGCUCAGAGAAAAUAAGAAAAGACGAAAAGACACAUCUGAUCGAAACAUCUUCUAGAAUUUUUUUAUAUAAUUUGUUAUGUCUGCUUGGCAUCGUGCCCGAAGAAAUGUUCCCGAAUUAUAUGUAGUGUUUUUAUUACACCAAAAUAAACAUCAGGAGUGCUACCGUGAAGCGAUUACUCAAUACUAGGGAUCCGAAAUUUCUGUAGGAUGAGUUUCUGUUUGAAAUCCUUUCCUCUGUUGGCUUUAUAUUUGUGGUAGGGAACUUCUUUUUACAAAUAAAGCAAAUCCAAUAAAGCCCAAUAUCUUUUCGUCAUCGAGCAAAACGUUGCCAUUUCUGGCUAGAUGAGGUUUCACUAGUUGUUUCUAUUAAAUCCCUUAAGCUCCGUUCAAGAACUUUCAUUUGAAACUUUUGCAGCUCUUCUUUGCUCCAGAAGUCUUUGAUUUUAUAGCGUUUUAUUAAUUUCUCUGACCACUGGGACUUCAAAUCCUAGGAUUUCGAAUGAUUUUUGAACUUUUCUGCAUAAGGUCCCCUUGAAGUGCACCACAUUUCGUGCAAAGUUCUUUUACGACGUCAACUUUCUAUAUAUUAUUCUCGUAGUUAUCAUCUGAAAAGCUAACAACCUGUUUAUAAUACCCAGCUCAGAAAGUUGUAGAUGUUUUCCCAAGCGAAUCACGAGUUGGGACUCUCUCUAUUUUCGAAACGGAGUCUUCUACAGGAAAUUCGAAUCGGAUGAUAUAAAAGCAGCUCAUAUUACAGGAUCAUGGUUCCGUCCUUACAGAACUACCUACCCGUCCGACAGUAGGUUGCUUGUGCAAAAUAUGAAAUAAGUCGAAAACAAAUUUCGGCUUAGAGAUGGUCAUGUUUGAGAGAAGGAUUAUGUGUAUUAAAAGUUCAGAAGUUCUAGAUGCCGUCGUUUUUAAUGCGAGGAAUAUGCAUUCCAUGUAUCCUUAUCUUUCUGACGAUGCUUCUCAUUCUGAAUCCUUUCAUGUUAUAUUUUACAAGAGAUGCCACAAUUUACAUACAUUUUCACUUAAAUUACUUACACAUACUAUAUACAAAUUUCGCACCAAUAUUUUAAAUAUUGUUCCAACUUUAUAUGUUAUAGGUAAUAAAAUUAAGAAAGAUGAGUUUUUCAUGCUUACUAAGUAAAUGAAUGAGCUUCAACUAAAAGUUUCAGUGAAUAAUUAGAUCGUUAGUACAAGGUAAUUUAUUAACAAAGAAAUUGAGUAUUGAUAUAAAAAGAAACUUAUUUAUAACCUUAAAAACCUUAUUUAUAACCUUAAUUCUUAGGGAUUUAUAAUACUCUUUGUCAGUGUGAUUUGGUAAAUGUUGGUAAAACUAAGCAGAUGGAAAUAUUUCGCAUUAAAGAGCAUGAAUCCUAAAUUAGAGAUAAGGAGCAACAGCUAAUCCUAAUUGCUCCCUUAACUCAAUUGUGUAACCCAGCUUUAGUUCCGCUAAAUUAUCAAAGGACAUUUUCACUUGAAGAGCUCCACACUCAGAAUUUAAUUAAUGGUACGAAUUCAAAUUUACGUUUUUCCAAAAACUUUCAAAAUUAUAAUCUUUAACUUUGAUAUUUAUCGUCUUUCGAUUCUUUUUGUUCGAUAGCUGUUCCCAUCUUGUCUUCUGAUGAAAUUAUUUGCUUAGUUUCUUCAAUUGUUUUAACUACAUGUUUAGUUAUCACUGCAUUUUGUUUUCCUUUCAAGAAGAAGUAGAAACGACAAUGGAGAUUUAGAAGACAAUCCGUCGUCUUCAAAAUAUAUAGAGCUUCAUGUAAACCGACUUCAAUUUAAGUUCUUUUUUCGUCUAAUUUGGAAUUUUACAAUGACAAGCUAUUUUCGCUGCAGAGAAUUAAAUGAAACUAAGACGUCAUUUAUCAUUGAGUGCUAUAGAAUAAAAACGUAAGAAGCAUUUUUGUUAGUCUAUAACCCAGCAUAAUGUUUACAAGGAACCCCACACAUGUUUAAUAGGAAAAGUUCUUGGCAUAUAUGCAUUAUUCUUAAACUCUUACUUUUCGAAUUCUUGUUUUUUUAUUAGAAGUUUAGGCAACAGUAUAAGCAACUUAGGGACCGCUGUAUGUUGAUAAAUUAUAUGGUUAAGAGCUACACAAAGACUUCAAUAUCUAAAUGGUCAGUCUAGUGACGCUAACUUACUGAAAAAGAAAGAAACAUCAAGUAGACAUCAAAAGCACUGAACGAAGAUCAAAGAUACCGAACAACUGCUUAUGGUCACUCCUGCUUAAAUAAUGUUUAAAUACGUGGCGUAAAUUUUCAGCGCCACGUCAGUAUAGUUUCUAACAUAUGAAGCACUUGCUGGAAAUGCAGAUUCUCAACAGAUGUGUUUUAUAUUAAGAGAUAAAUAAUAUAAUAACUACUUGUUUACAGUACUGAGUAUUCAGGAAGGCACUGAGGUACUAGAGUUGUAUAAUUAUAAAAGUUACAUUUCCUUUACAGUCAAAUCAUUGAUUAUAAUAUUGUAUGAUGAAAAGGAGCAAACUAUAUCUGUUUCGUGAUCAAGUAUUUUCCUAUUUAAUCAAAUUAAUUUCUUAUAAAAUUCUGAUCUCAGGUAUCAUUGUAGAGCAUAGACUUUGUUGUCUUCUCUUUAAAACAAAAAUACUGAAUUAUUACCUAACAAUUAAGAAACUUUUCAAUGCGGCCAUUACUUGAAGCUCUUAAAACCGAGAUUUCUUUGCCAAGAAUUUUCUUAUUCAAGAACAUAAUUCUCGAAUUAUGCUUGGAUUAUAGUUAAACACAAACUCGAAUUAUUAAUAUAAAUUUACUUAAAGCAUUUGGUACCUAUCUGUUCAAGCAUAAAAGAAAUGGAAGCACCAAAAAAUAAGUAUAAAAUAAUAUAGGAAAUGUACAAUAUUUACAAAUACUUUUAACCCACUAUGCUUUACGGUACAAUUUAGAAUAAUGUGGAUUAGAAUAUUUAUAAUAGAAAAUAUAUUUAUCCUGUCAGAUAAUUCCAGUUAUCGCCCAUUUAAUCCAGUUAAUCGUCUUUUGAUGCUUCUAUUAAAAUAGAAUGUUUUUAUUGAAUCUUUUCAGAUAUUUGGUCAUUAGUAACUGUUUAUUUUUAAAAACGCAAAGGAAAAAAAUAAAAUAAAAUCCAUUGCAAAGUCUGAGUUAUAUGUAACUUGCACAUUAUUUACAAAGUAUAAACAGAGAAUGACAUCUACUAAAAAAUUAUGAGAAUAUGAAAUCCAUAGAAUUUCCUCUUCAUUCAGUUUUCACACAGCAAAAGUGAAUAGAUUUUUUAGAAUCAUUCCAUCCUAAAAUAAAACAAAAGCUGGAAACAGAAAACAGAAAACAAGGAUUUAGAGCUAGAAUCAGAGGUUCUGAAAACAGGAAUUACGUUCAGAGAAUAUUAAGCUUCUCUCCUGUAGCUUCCGAUUACGUUACAUUUAUACUAUGUCCUUGUAGAAUAAAAAAUAUUUUUGACUUUC
rnacentral:lncRNA from 1 species